UACGAGUGCCCCAAGCGUUAUCCGGAAUCAUUGGGCGUAAAGGGUGUGUAGGUGGCGUGAUUAGUCUUCUGUUAAACCUUCUGGCUCAACCAGAAACUUGCAGAGGAAACGGUCAUGCUCGAGGGUGCGAGAGGUGAAUGGAACUCAUGGAGUAGGGGUGAAAUCCGUUUGAUAUCAUGGGGAACACCAAAAGCGAAGGCAAUUCACUGGACGCAUUCCUGACACUGAAACACGAAAGGACUGGGUGAGCGAACGGGG
rnacentral:rRNA from 1 species